rnacentral:rRNA from 1 species
CAAUAGCGUAUAUUAAAGUUGUUGCAGUUAAAAAGCUCGUAGUUGGAUUUGUGGCUGUCACGGGCGGCCUAUCACUUAGUGUUAGUGCUUGCCUGUGUCGCCAUCCUUGGGUGGAGCCCGUGUGGCAUUAGGUUGUCGUGCGGGGGAUGCCCAUCGUUUACUGUGAGAAAAUUAGAGUGUUCAAAGCAGGCUUAUGCCAUUGAAUAUGUUAGCAUGGAAUAAUAAGAUAGGACCUCGGUACUAUUUUGUUGGUUUGCGCACCGAGGUAAUGAUUAAUAGGGACAGUUGGGGGUAUUCGUAUUUCAUUGUCAGAGGUGAAAUUCUUGGAUUUCUGAAAGACGAACUACUGCGAAAGCAUUUACCAAGGAUGUCUUCAUUAA